GAGGCCUGAAGCGUACGAAGCAUAAGCAGGCUGAUUAGUAAUGGGGAAAAUUAAAGGAAUAUCAGUAGGAGAGAGUGAGGAGACGGGAUCCAAUACCAACAUCCUCCCGUUGUACGAUCUUGUGCGGCAUGAGAAUUGGAGAAGGACAUCGCCUGUACUACUGCUCUAUUAAUCAUCAAAGAAGUUUAGACCGAGGCGAUUGGAGGAGGCCGGUGGCGAUCCUGAAACGGCAUGGAGACGGACGGGUCGAGGCACCAUUGGAGGAGGCCCAGCCGAACCUCGACGGCCGAGCUUGAGUUGCGCGAGUUUGGCCCGGGAGGACAGCGCCGCCCCUCUGCUGUUGCCCUGCCACUGUUGGCUGCUACAGAGUGCGGCGGCAUGGCGAGAUCUAGACGCCGAUGAGAAGCGGUCGACCCAGCAGGUAGCGGCAGCACGGCGAGCUCUUGACGCCGAUGAGAAGCGGUUGACCCAGCAGGUAGCGGCGGCACGGCGAGGUCUUGACGCCGAUGAGAGGCGGCCGAACCAGCAGGUGGUGGCCGCGCGCAGGAUGCCAGGGGCAACGCCGUGGAGAUGGGAUGGACAUCGGCAAAGAACCAUGGAGCCAGGCAGGGG
rnacentral:lncRNA from 1 species